rnacentral:rRNA from 1 species
AGCAGCCGCGGUAAUUCCAGCUCCAAUAGCGUAUAUUAAAGUUGCUGCAGUUAAAAAGCUCGUAGUUGAAUUUCGGGAUCAAUAUGUUGGUCGUGCCUCGGUACGUACUAGCUUAUUGGUUUCUCCCUUCUGACGAACCAUGAUGUCAUUUAUUUGGUGUUAUGGGAAAUCAGGACUGUUACUUUGAAAAAAUUAGAGUGUUUAAAGCAGGCCCACGCUUGAAUACAUUAGCAUGGAAUAAUGAAAUAGGACGUUUGAUUCUAUUUUGUUGGUUUCUAGGAUCGACGUAAUGAUUAAUAGGGAUAGUUGGGGGCAUUAGUAUUCAAUUGUCAGAGGUGAAAUUCUUGGAUUUAUUGAAGACUAACUACUGCGAAAGCAUUUGCCAAGGAUGUUUUCAUUAAUCAAGAACGAAAGUUAGGGGAUCGAAGACGAUCAGAUACCGUCGUAGUCUUAACCAUAAACUAUAGCCGACUAGGGAUCGGAUGAUGUUAAUUUUUUAAUGACUCA